UACGGAGGGUGCGAGCGUUGUCCGGAAUCACUGGGCGUAAAGGGCGCGUAGGCGGCCGUGUAAGUCACUUGUGAAAUCCCGGGGCUCAACCCCCGGGGCUGCAGGUGAGACUGCGUGGCUAGAGCACGGUAGAGGCGAGUGGAAUUCCCGGUGUAGCGGUGGAAUGCGUAGAUAUCGGGAAGAACACCGGUGGCGAAGGCGGCUCGCUGGGCCGUUGCUGACGCUGAGACGCGAAAGCGUGGGGAGCAAACAGG
rnacentral:rRNA from 1 species